AAGUCGUAACAAGGUUUCCGUAGGUGAACCUGCGGAAGGAUCAUUAGCAAGUUCGAGGACGCCUCGACCGGACCCGCGAGGGGAAGGCGACCGGCGUCCCGAUGAAAGGAAGGCGAGGCUGCCGAUGUGGUCGGACAAACCCGUCCGCACGUCCCGCUUCGCUCGUCCACAAACCCUCUCCGCGUACCAUCCCUUGUUGCUUUCCCGGAUCCACGGGUCGUUUGGGCGACCCGCCCGGGAACAGACCGAAGUCACAUGCAAAGCAGUCGUCUGAUGGGAUGGCCCACAAGCCAUCGCGAACCUCGAAAAGUUAAAACUUUCAACAACGGAUCUCUUGGUUCUC
rnacentral:misc_RNA from 1 species